rnacentral:rRNA from 1 species
UAGGGAAUCUUCCACAAUGGACGCAAGUCUGAUGGAGCAACGCCGCGUGAGUGAAGAAGGUCUUCGGAUCGUAAAACUCUGUUGUUAGAGAAGAACACGAGUGAGAGUAACUGUUCAUUCGAUGACGGUAUCUAACCAGCAAGUCACGGCUAACUACGUGCCAGCAGCCGCGGUAAUACGUAGGUGGCAAGCGUUGUCCGGAUUUAUUGGGCGUAAAGGGAACGCAGGCGGUCUUUUAAGUCUGAUGUGAAAGCCUUCGGCUUAACCGGAGUAGUGCAUUGGAAACUGGAAGACUUGAGUGCAGAAGAGGAGAGUGGAACUCCAUGUGUAGCGGUGAAAUGCGUAGAUAUAUGGAAGAACACCAGUGGCGAAAGCGGCUCUCUGGUCUGUAACUGACGCUGAGGCUCGAAAGCGUGGGGAGCGAACAGGAUUAGAUACCCUGGUAGUCCACGCCGUAAACGAUGAGUGCUAGGUGUUAGGUCCUUUCCGGGACUUAGUGCCGCAGCUAACGCAUUAAGCACUCCGCCUGGGGAGUACGACCGCAAGGUUG